rnacentral:lncRNA from 13 species
CUUCAUGUGACCCCACUCUCUUCAUUCCAUUCUGCUCUGAGUGUCCCAUGAUCAGUCAUACCUAAGGACUUGCAUUAUUCUUUCAGUGUUUUUUCAUAGCCCUCAUUCCUUUAACAAAUAACUUCCUUUUCAUACAAAACCCCUUUCUGCAUUAUCUGGCUAACAAACUUCUCUUCCCUGAAAAUUCAGCUCUUCUUUGUUUGGAAAAAAGAAGAAGGAAGAGGAGAAAAAGAAGGAGGAGGAAGAGGAGAGAAAAAGGAGGGGGAGAGGGAAGAAAAUAAAGACAAAAAGGAGAAAUUCCAUUUAACAGAAGAGGAAACUGAGACCAGAGAAAAUAAGAAAUUUGCUUAAGAUUAUUCUGAUCUUGGGCAGAAAUGGGCUGUUCUUAAAGUCAGGUUUCUGGCCAACUCGAAGUAAAUAAUUCAAAAGGCUUUGAGAUCAGGAAGAAAAAUCACUAACUCUGUGGACGUGGGUAAGUUUCCUAACCUUUCUGUUGAUUCCAUCUUCUCAUCUUUAACACAGAGAUAAUAAUACCUGACCUUUCCCAAGUCACAGGUGG